rnacentral:rRNA from 1 species
GAUGAACGCUGGCGGCGUGCCUAACACAUGCAAGUCGAACGAUGAAGCCCAGCUUGCUGGGUGGUUUAGUGGCGAACGGGUGAGUAACACGUGAGCAACCUGCCCCCCACUCUGGGUUAAGCGCUGGAAACGGCGCCUAAUACUGGAUAUGUCCUGUCAUCGCACGGUGUGUGGGUGGAAAGAUUUUUCGGUUGGGGAUGGGCUCGCGGCGUAUCAGCUUGUUGGUGCGGUAUGGGCUGACGAAGGCGUCGACGGGUAGCCGGCCUGAGCAGGUGACCGGCCACACGAGGACUGAGAGACGGCCCAGACGCCUACGGGAGGCAGCAGUGGGGAAUAUUGCACAAUAGGCGGAAGCCUGAGGCAACAACGCCGCGUGAGGGAUAACGGCCUUCGGGUGGUAAACCUCUUUGAGCGGGGAAGAAGCGAAAGUGACGGUACCUGCAGAGAAAGCACCGGCUAACUACGUG